GCACUAGAUAAAAAAUUUAAACAAAAAUAAAACUAAAAAGAGAAAGAAUAGAAACAAAAAUUUAAGAAGAAAGACAAAUAACUAAUUACAAAAAAAAAAUAUUUACAAUUGAAAACAAAAAUAUAAAUAUAAAUAAGCAAAAUUAAACGUUGCAUAAGUGUCUCCUUGUUGAUAUUAUCAACAGUCACCGGUGAAGGUAGAGAAAAACAAGAAAGGGGGGGUUUGAAUUAUUUUGAGAAAAU
rnacentral:lncRNA from 1 species